rnacentral:misc_RNA from 1 species
GAUGAAGAACGUAGUGAAAUGCGAUACGUAAUGUGAAUUGCAAAUUCAGUGAAUCAUCGAGUCUUUGAACGCACAUUGCGCCCCCUGGUAUUCCGGGGGGCAUGCCUGUCCGAGCGUCAUUGCUGCCCUCAAGCACGGCUUGUGUGUUGGGCCCCGUCCUCCGAUCCCGGGGGACGGGCCCGAAAGGCAGCGGCGGCACCGCGUCCGGUCCUCGAGCGUAUGGGGCUUUGUCACCCGCUCUGUAGGCCCGGCCGGCGCUUGCCGAUCAACCCAAAUUUUUAUCCAGGUUGACCUCGGAUCAGGUAGGGAUACCCGCUGAACUUAAGCAUAUCAAUAAGGGAGGA